rnacentral:misc_RNA from 1 species
GAAAUGCGAUAAUUAAUGUGAAUUGCAGAAUUCAGUGAAUCAUCGAGUCUUUGAACGCAUAUUGCGCCCCCUGGUAUUCCGGGGGGCAUGCCUGUCCGAGCGUCAUUGCUGCCCUCAAGCACGGCUUGUGUGUUGGGCUUCCGUCCCUGGCAACGGGGACGGGCCCAAAAGGCAGUGGCGGCACCAUGUCUGGUCCUCGAGCGUAUGGGGCUUUGUCACCCGCUCCCGUAGGUCCAGCUGGCAGCUAGCCUCGCAACCAAUCUUUUUAACCAGGUUGACCUCGGAUCAGGUAGGGAUACCCGCUGAACUUAAGC